GAGACAAGGCUAUGGGCGGCGGGCGGGGACGGCUGUCCCUCCCUCAAGGAGUGGAGUUAGCGAGGCUGCGCUGGGGUGCUCCGUUGCCGAGGAUGGGCCGAGUUCGAGGCGGCAAAGGAAUUGUCUGCCAGGCUUCUGGAGGCACCUGGGCCGUGUGGGUUCACAGCGGUCAUCCAGGGAAUGGAUGGACAUGGUGAGUUUCUGAAGCACGGGCAUCACCCUUAGGGUAGGGGGAGGGCUCCAACACCAAGGCCCCCAGCACACAUUUCACAAGGAAAAAUGACCGUGUCGUGCCUGUGUUGGUAGGUGAUCAACUGUGCUUAACCGAGAAGGGAAUUUUCUCUAGUUAGAGGCCUCACAUUAAGCAUGCAUUGGCUUCAUCUGGAGUGUGCAGAACAGAAUCAUUCUCUUCCCCAUUCCUCACCAAGAACAGUAAUUAGAAUGCAAGUUCAUCUCCAUAUAAUGCAUUAUGACUUUAAUAUCAGUAAAUGCUUCUUACAUAUUAGAUGCAGUGAGGAAAUAUUAGUUGAAAAUUCACAGACUGGUAUGAUCAGUUUCCUCUAGGAUAAAAUGUGAUAAAUGGGUUUUAAUAAACUGAGGAGAAUUAUAGGCACCAUCAUCUUGGUUCCUGUCAAUUUUACUUAGAGUAAAAUGCCAUUGCAAUAAUUAGUUGGUUUUUACUGUAUUCAUUAAAAGUUUUUCUAAUGACCACUUGAGGAAUAAGUAAAAUUAAUUUCUUUCUUGAACAUCAAAGGAAUUCAUCAAUCAAACAAAAAGCAAACUUCAGGGAUUAUGCGAGACAGGGUGAGGACCAGUGGUUUUCCGUGCCCACUGUGGGGACAGCGCUUUCCCGCCGUAUGUCAUUGGCAUGGAAGCUCGAGGCCAUUCCCCCGAGGUGUGCUGAUGGAGAGGGAUGCAGGCCCCGGGUGGAGGCCCUGGCCGUCCUUCUCAGGUGCCAUUGAGCUGUGACUCCAAGGCCUCCUCCUCCAGGCAGCUUUCCUUGACUGCUCCAACUUCAGGGCUCUCUCCUGCCUGGCCCACACACUUGAACUAGGGCUCCUCAGUCUCAGAGGCUGAGGCCAGUUUCUCUCUCUGCCUGUGGCCCCUCAGAUUCCAGCAUAGGGCCAGGCACUCUAGAGGGCUCAAGGGCCACUACCCCCGUCCUAGCUCCUGCAGUGCUCGGCCAAGCUCAGCCCUUGUUCAGCACACCAGCCCUGUGAGCCACGCUGUCCCUGGAGCCUGGCUCGGAGGAUGCGAGGAGGAUUCUCCAGCAGGCAAGCAUGGUCAGAGGGGCCACUGGGUCGCCAGAUGGAGUCCCUGUGCCGAUCCCACAGUACACGGAGAGGAGCAGAAAAGCGGGUGAGGCCUGGGGAGAUGACAUCACAUGGCUGGGGCUACUCAGUGGUGAAGGGAGAGACAAAGCCGGACACCGCUCUGGCUACUGGGGGGAGCAAUGGUCCUUCCCACCUCUUGUGCCAGGUACAGCACUGGGGCCUGGGACCAGGACGAGCCUCAGAACACGGCUGGUGAGCACACCCACCUCCACCUGCACCCAUCCCCGCUCCCCACACACACCACACACACACUCAUCACACACACACUCAUCACACAACCACACACUCAUCACACACGCUCAUCACACACACCACACACUCAUCACACACAUUUUACACACACCACACACACUCGUCACACACAUGCUCAUCACACACUCAUCACACACCACACGCUCAUAAUACUCAUCACACACAUUCAUUACACACAUACACCACACACAUGCUCAUCACACACAUUCUCAUCACACACACCAUACGCACUCAUCACACACACUCAUCACACACAUGCUCAUCACACAUGCAUCACAUGCUCAUAACACACUCAUCACACACAUGCACCACACACAUGCUCAUCACACACAUAUCACACACAGCACACACACUCAUCACACACGCUCAUCACACACUGAUCACAGACACACGCUCAUCACACACCACACACACAGUCAUACAAACUCAUCACACACACCACACAUAUACUCAUCACUCAUGCUCAUCACACACAUUCAUCAAACACUACACACAUGUUCACACACUCAUCACAUGCACACCACACACUCAUCACACACAUUCAUCACAUACACCAUACACACAUUCAUCACACACGGCACACACAUGCUCAUCACACACACACCAUGCACACUCAUCACACUCACACACACAUCACACACGAUCACAGACAUCACACACACCACACACAUGCUCAUUAUGCACACUCGUCACACGCACACCACACACAGUCAUCACACACACAUCCCAGACACCACACACACCACACCAUAUAUACACUCAACCAUCACACGCACACACACCACACACACACACCUCAUCACGCAUACACCUGCACACAGAGCCACACACACUGGGCCAUCACACAGACACCAUGCACCACACACACACACACUCAUCACACACAAACCCAAUCACCUCACACACCCAUCCACCCCCAUCACAGCCCCCACCUCUGCUGAAUGGAGCCCCACCAUCCUUCAAUGACCAGCUGGCACCUCGUCCUUGACGUGCCCCAUCGCACUUCCUUCUCCCGCCCACGAGGACCUCGGUAAUGUCGCCCCUGAAACUGCUGCGGAACCUGGAGCCCACUGUAACCCAGAAUUGGAAUCCCAGCUCAGCCCCUGCACACCUGAUUGCCCGGAGAAAUGCCUUAUUCCUGACAGCCUCUUGGUUCUUUUCCGUCUCCGGUUAGGUGAGAAGGUCAAUCUGGCCCUGCGGGUUAUGUUGGGGGUUACAUGAGAACCUCAUUGGCAUGAAGAGGCCAGGCAGGUCCUCCGACAGUGCCACAGCCCCAGGCUUGUGCCGCCAAAUCACGGAGGCCUUCCGGGCCCUGAACACGAACCGGACGGGGCCUUCCCGCAUUACUACCCGAAUGACACUGCUGGGGGGACCGCUCUCUGGAUGCCAUUGUGGCCACGUGUCGGGACGGUCGGCUGCUUGACUCCACGACUUAAAGCUAGAUUUGGCCUUUUAAGCCUCUGUCUCAGUGCCCUCGGGUCCCUUCUGCAGCUCACCUACCUGUCCCUCGGCCUCUGGGGUGGGCUGGCAGGGCUCGUUCUGGGACCUACGUGGGGUGGCAGCAAUGGCUGUCAUGGUGCAGAGCCGGCUUCUCGGAGUGCCUGGUCUGGGGAUCCCCAGGGAAGGCACUGAAGCUGUCUCCUAGGCUCCCGGGCCUGUGAGGCCCAGCCAGCUCCACCCCUGCCCCACCCACCCCAAGCCCCACAGGGGUCCCCUACCUGGCAGCUCAAGCCCAGCCCCCUUUCCUGGUACCCUGAGAGGCCCCACCACCACCUCGUGCCAGUCAAGGGUGAUGUGUGGGCCGCUGGGCCUUUGAUCCCUGUCAGGGUCACUCAGAGAAGCCUGGGUGAACAUGAAAGUUCGAUGCUAAGCCACAUCCAAGCCAAGACUCAGGAACAAGCAGGGACCUUGCCUGUAGUGUCCCCAACUCCUGAGCAGCUCUCCAGCUUCUGGAUCCCCUGGCUCUUUUUGGCUGAGGGGGCUCCUCUGUGUAACUCGGCCAGGCCCUCUUUCCAGGCUUUUAUUCUUCCUGCAGCCAGAGAGGGGGGCAGAGGGAGCCUCUGGUGCCAGCUCUGAGGCCUCUCUUGAAGCCCAGCCUGAAGGUGUCUGUCCCCACCUGCUGCUACCCCCACCCUGAGAUGGGGGCUUAGAACCUUUGCCCUGGUGGCUUGCCCUGCUGGGACCCCUUCUUCUAAUCUCAGAAUGACCGACCCCUCGCCUCCCUCACGUCGCUGUUUCAGAGCUACUUUCUCACCCAGAUCCCCGACCUGGUGCUCCUAGUUUCCCCACCCACCUGUGCUACGUGUUCCCAGGUGUCUGCCACCUGCAGCAGGCUGCCCAGUCAUUCCUCCCUCCCCGUGUGCUUUCAUCAUCGAGCCCCUUCUGGCCCCAUCCUCCAGCUCCCGCCGUGUUGCUCAGAGCAGCUCACGGUGCACGGCGACUCCGGGGAAUGGGGUUCCCACAGCUCCCCGGCUUCCAUAAAGGCCACGGCGGGCUCUGCAGGGCAAGCUGGCCUCUGCGAUCACUGCGCAGUGACCCCUCACAAGUAGCAUUUUUGCACUUGGGAGUCUACACGUUUUUUCAUUUUAAAAGGAGUUUGUCCCUGCUGUUUGAGAAAUAUGCCCAGGAACACAGCCCUUCUCAGAGAGUCUGGUUACUUAAAAGGAAAGCUCUUGAUUACAUAGGGGAGUUCACCGUGGUGCAAUGUUGACGGAGGCAUGGCCAGCACAGGGCAGGAGCUGGGGGACUGACACCUCUGAGGACAGGUAGACACUCAUCAUAGCAGCAACACACUGCUUGCACCUGCAGAGGCCACAGGCUCAGCAGAGCUGCCCUGGCGAUGCUGGUGAUUUCAGGAGGUCUCUCUAGAGUGCCGGGAGAUGCUGCACCCUCAGAAGUGGCCGCCAGGAGUGGCUCUGGCAGAUUGAGAUGGUGAUUUAGCUGAUCAUGCCGCCGUCCGUGUUCACUCUCCAUCAGAAGCCACACCUCACUCUCUUAGAGCGAGGGAGAGACACACUCAAGCUGGGGGCAAAUGGCAUCUGCAGAGCCAGAUCCAGGGGCCAGGAGGAUCGGGGACUCCCCGGGAGGAGUCUCCAUGCCACUGGCUGGAUUUAUUCUCCCAUGAGGCUGUGCGCUCAUUGUUGUCCUGCAUUAUGGAAAUUACAUCAGUUCUCCGUGGUGUCUUCAUGAGAGGCAAUUUUACUCCUGACUUCUACCUGUUUUUUUUUUUUUUAAUUUAGGAAGGGACAUUAAAGAGACUCUGCUUGCUUCUUUGCGGGGCCUUUUUCCUCUUGAAAACAGUCCCAGGGCUGCAAACAAAUGCUUUGGUUAAAUAUCAGAAAGGAACUUACUAACAACUCCUUACUAGGGUCCAACCGUCAUUCAUUAACCUGUCUGAUUUUCUCAGCAAUCCUGUGAAGUCAAGCGGCCGCUAGGAACCCAGCUCCUGUGUGUACACAUCGAGGCCGUGGGCCUGGUCACGAUCGGUAGCUGGGUGCUGGCCUGGCAGUGGGGACCAGGCCACACCCACAAAGCAGGUCCGCCUGGGCCUGGACCCAAGUUCAUCUGGCCAGCCCAGUGAUGGCGACCCUGACUCAGUUUCCCUAUCAACAAAAUAGGAAUAAGAUACUGAGUACCUAAAGGGUUUUAGGAUGGAAGGAGGCGAUGCCUGCCCACGGCACGUAACAGAGCCAGUGCCAAGAGCUGAGCUGUGGGCACUGCAACUACCCCAGUAGAAUGGCUCCUGGACCCCUCCCCGAACCAGCUCCCCCUCCUCCAGCAGCCAUACCACCAGGCCGACAGCAUCUGACCCAUAGGGCCCCACCCUCACGCCUGCUUCUCACCAGCUUUGGGGACUCCAGUGGGCAUCCCUGUUCUCCAGGCCUCAGCAUCCUCAGCUAUGAAACAGGCUGCUGAGGCCUCCCUUGGGCAACCAGCAUCCCGGCCGCAGGCAGAGGGGAAUCUUGCUGACAGGAGGCAGGAGACCACCCCAGGAACCAGGGUUUGCCCGGUCUCCUCUUGGGGCAGCUAUCCAGGCAGAACCUCAGCCCUCAGAUAGCAGGAUCACGGCGAAAACUAAGUCAUCAUGUGUCUGAAAUUGGUGGGUUCUUGGUCUCACUGACUUCAAAAACAAAGCCGCAGACCCUCCCAGUAAGUGUUACAAUUCUUAAAGACGGUGUGUCCAGAGUUUGUUCCUUCUGACAUUAGGAUGCAUUUGGAGCUUUUUCCGUUGGUGGAUUGCUGGUCUGGCUAGCCUCAAGAGUGAAGCUGCAGACCUUGCAGUGAGUGUUACAGCUCAUAGACACAGCACGGACUCAGUGAGCAGCAACAAGAUUUAUUGCAAAGAACAAAAGAACAGAGCUUCCACACUGUGGAAGGCUAUCUGAGCAGCUUGCCACUGUUGGCUAGGGCAGCCUGCUUUUAUUCCUUUAUCUGACCCCACCCACAUCUUGCUGAUUGGCCCAUUUUACAGAGAGCUGAUUGGUCCGUUUUGACAGGGUGCUGAUUGGUGCAUUUACAAUCCCUGAGCUAGACACAGAGCGCUGACUGGUGUAUUUACAAUCCUCUAGCUAGAGGUAAAAGUUCUCCAAGCCCCGACCAGAUAAGCUAGAUACAGAGUGCUGAUUGGUGUAUCCACAAACCCCAAGCUAGACACAGAGUGCUGAUUGGUGCAUAUACAAUCCUCCGGCUAGACAUAAAAGUACUCCAAGUCCCCACCCCACUCAGGAGCCCAGCUGGCUUCUCCUAGUGGAUCCCGUGCCAGGGCCAUAGGCGGAGCUGCCCACCAGUCCAGUGCUAUGUGCCUGCACUCCUCAGUCCUUGGGUGGUCAAUGGGACCAGGCACUAUAGAACAAGGGGCGGUGCCCGUGGGGGAGGCUUGGGCCACACGGGAGCCCAGGAGUUGCGGCGGGGGCGGUGUUGCUUGGGCAUGGGGGUGCUGCAGGUCCCAAGCCCUGCAGCAUGGGAAGGCGGCUGAGGUUCGGCGAGAAUUCAACCACAGCGCGGGUGGGCCGUCAGUGCUGAGGGACCCGGCGCACCCUCCUCAGCUGCUGGUCUGGGUGCUAAGCCCCUUACUGCCUGGGGCCGGCGGCACCAGCCGGCUGCUGGGAGUGUGGGGCCCGCUGAGCCCGCGCCCACCAGGAACUCAUGCUGGCCUGCGAGCACUGUGCACAACCUCGGUUCCCACCUGUGCCUUUUUCUCCACACCUCCCAGCAAGCAGAGGGAGCUGGCUCUGGCCUCAGCCAGACCAGAGAGGGGCUCCCACAGUGCAGCGGCAGGCUGAAGGGCUCCUCAAGCGUGGCCAGAGUGGACUCCAUGGCCUGAGGAGUUGCCGAGAGUGAGCGAGGGCUGCUAGCACUUUGUCACUUCUCAAUCAGGACCCCAGGCCUGAAGGUCAUCCCUGCCUGGUUCCUGCAGCAGCCUCAGUGACAGGUGCUGGGGAAGGCCCUGAUGCAGGCAGCCUUUAUCUUGGCCUCCCUUGGACCCCCAGCCCCUCCAGCUCCAGUCACUGUGUUCCAAUAGAGACCCCCCAGGGCACUGCAGGGAGUGCUUUCCACAGCCCCAGCUGCACCCCACUUCCAGCUUGCCUCUGGAAACAGCCACGAAUGGCAGGGUGGCACCAGAAGGUAAGCCUUUAGGGAGAAUGAACACAGGUCUCCACCCUCAGACAAACACAGGCCUCCACCCUCAGACAAACACAGGCCUCCACCCUCAGACGAACACAGGUCUCCACCCUCAGACGAACACAGGCCUCCACCCUCAGACGAACACAGGCCUCCACCCUCAGAUGAACACAGGCCUCCACCCUCACAUGAACACAGGCCUCCACCCUCAGAAACAGAAGCUCCACAGAGCCCCCAAGGGACCCUGGGGCACCCUGGAAGCAUCCAAUGUGCACUGGAGUCACCUCAAGAGCCAUGGGGACUUGGAGCCGCUUGAUUCUGGGAAAGCUCUCCCCGAUGGAACAUUGGAAUAAAUGUGUGUAGCUGUGAAACCCCCCUUUGCAUAAAAUCAAAAAGAGAGCCUGUGUAAAACAGAUUUCUAAAUACCCAAGACCUUAAGACACAGCCUCUCCUCCUGGGCACCUCCACAGCCUCUUCCUGCCCUUCUUGCCUCCAAGCCGGUGCAGCUCCUUCUAAAACAUCUUGGUGCACCCAGGGUCCCCAGAGGAAGGCGGGAGCCCACGGGAGACACGUGGACAGGAGUCAGCCCCUCCACCAGCCUGCCGGGAGGCAGAUGGUCGGGAAAGGGGUGCCCUACCACUCUACUACAGAAGAAUCUGUUACCAUGGAAGCAUCCGGAGCAAUAAGGAGGAGGUGACUUUGCUCCCCAGGAAGUGGGGCCCUCUGCCCCAGGGAUGGGUGCGCUCGUUUGCUAGGAGGGCCGUUCAGACUGAGGCACCUGGGGUGGGGGGUGCAAAUCCUGGUCUUGUCCCCAAGGGCCCUGGGCAUGGAUGCCUUCAGCAAACUCUCCCCAAGACCCAGGCAUGGGGCGAGGCAGGACCUGUCCUGGAGCUCCCAGGCUGGGGCAGCAGGGAGGGCCAAGGCGAGGGGCCCUGGUGUGUGGGAACUGCCCCAAUCACCCCCCAGUCCCUGACCUGAAGCUGCCCCUGGGGCUGAGGAGCCUCACUCUGUCCCUGGGCCAGGGUCCCGGGCUCCCCAGCCUGUGGAGUGAGAGCCGCAGGGCAGGGAUGGUCAAGCACCACCACCCAUGGCUGUGGCCCCAGCCCCAUCGCCUCAGCCUCCAGAGCCCCCAAGCCUUCACCCAGCCUUAUGGGCCCCGCUGCCCACACCCUGGUUCAUGGAUUUGAGCCAAGCUCACCCGUCUGCCCAGUGGCUUUGGAUUCAAGAGUGUCCUUGGCUCCCCCUGUCCCCCAGCCAUGUCUCAUAGUCCCCUGGGGUAGGCUGAAGGUCUCUGAGGGAAACCCGCUUUCACUGUGUGGAGCACAGGCCCUGGCCCACUGCGGGCCCACAGGACUUUCUAGGAGGAGGAAACGCCUUCUUUCUUGGCUUCUCGUAUGCUCCCGUGUGGGCCAUGGGUGCGUGUGGCUGGCGCCCAAUGUCAGUUCCUUUCAUUCACUUCCCUCUAAGCACCUCCGUGGAUGAGCAGCCACCGUCCUGGACACACACAAAGUCUCAGCUGGCGUGUGGCAGGCUGUGGGGAGCUCAGCCCCUCCACUCAGACGUGGUGGCCGUGGCCACUGUCUCGAACAAAAGGAAGAGCUUGUUUACAAAUUGUUCAUUGAAAAUUGAGUUGCAAACAUUGGCAUCAGGCCUCGCCUGCCAGGCCACCUGGAUUGGAGGGUAACUUAUGAAGAUUGCUUUACCUGGGGGCAUGCUGGUCUAUGCCUGUGAGUAAUUCACACCAGGCUCAUUUCAGAUGCAGUCAAAGACCCCCAUAUUUCACCACAACAAUGUAAUCACAGAGCCACGUUAAAAAGUCAUUACUGUUUAGAAUCCAGCUUGGUUUGAAAAACACUUACUAUAAAAUUCAACAGCCUUUGUAAAUUACCAAAAGGUUUACUUAAGAAUCCUAGGUGCCGUGAUUUAGACCGGGAACUUACCACUUUAUUAAUUCUGUGGGAUUUUGUCGGUCCCUGCAUUUAUAAGGCAUGAUUAGUGAGUGAUGAGAUAAUAAACUCCUCCGUGCUGGUUCGGAAAUAAUGAUGAGUUGAGUUUGCAUCCUCAAAUUUCUCAUGCAAACCACUCCUGCUCCAAAGAGUCCCAGAUGCAACUUUGGGUGGUUUUGCAGGCAGUAUGGCCAUCAUCUCCCAAGGGGAGAGAGCACAGGGGGAGCUGGCUCCUCCGCUCACCUCUUUGUGGGAUCCCGGCAGGCCUGCCCACCGCAUCCCAGGAGAGCAGCCAUGGAGCCCGAUUCUGUUUCCAGGCCAGCUCGAAGGGUGCUGGGAAGCACUGGCAGAGCUCCUGCAGAUGCAGAUGCUCCUCUGCCUCUUUCGUGGCAGUCCAGGGACCAGAUGUGUGUCUGCACAAGCCCUCAUCACUUACACGUGGUUGAACAGGCAGGACUUGGUGAAUUCCUUCUCAGUUUUGUCCUGAGAGGCAGACAGCGUGCCCCUGGCAGCCUUGAAAUGAGGGGUCAUUUGGGGAUCCUGAAAGCUGAGGUUCUAGCCCAGGAAGUGCCCCAGAGCCCGGCCAUCCUGACACACUGACUCUCCUUCCAUGCUGGGAGACAGCAGCUCUGCCCUGCCCACCUGCCCAGAAGUGGCCAGCUGGCUUUUUGCCAGGUUCUGCCCUCUGCAGCCCCAGAGCUACACCUGUCCUUUCUUAGAAGCUGCCAAUGGCCAUGAGUGUCCAGGACACUCUGGGAAGGACUGUAGUAAAAUAGUCAAUGUGUUUAAUCCAUGUUUCCCACUGGCCCACCCAUGCCUUUGACCCACAGGACAGUGGCCACGCAUGUGCUUGGGAAAACCACCAUAACAGGUCCAGACAAGAGUGCUGGCCUGAGCAUGGGUCACGCUAACGUGGGUGGCUCAAUUAAGGAACAGGGAUGGACUUCCUGUCCUGUCGCCCCCACACACUCCUGCUUCUUCUAGUGGCCAUUUCUGUGUGAGGCUGGAGCACAGUGGAAGGUCUGUGAACCUGUAUUAAGCAAAAUAGAAACUAAAUGUGGACUUGGACUGAAAGGAAAUUGAGUUAGACAAUGAAAAUGGAUGGGAAUGGAAUGGAAUUCGGAUUUGAACUGAAUGGAAUUGAAUUGGAAGUGGAUUAAAAUGGAAUUGAACUAUAAUCUAAACCCCAGUAGGGCAGAAAAAAAUGGACAGGCUGAGCCAGGGGAGCUGCCCUCACCCCAUCUGUUCCCUGCCCUGGGGAACCCUCUGGUCAAUACUGCUAAUAGGAACUGAAAAUUAAAAUGGUGCUGAUGGAUUUUCUUUAAUAUGCACAGACGCAUCUCAGAGUAUUUCUGUAAAAGCAGUGACCGAGCCUGUAGAGGUCAUGAGGCACCUGGGCCAAGCCCCGAGAUGCUCCCAGAAACAGCACUUGAGUCGUGCACUUGAAAUUCAAAGCGCUGUCCACCUUUGACAGAGCAAGCUCCUCUUGUCCGGCCACGUACAGUCCCUGAGCCACAGAAGAGGCCCCCAGAAGCCUCCUCCAGCAGACAGGAAUGAGGAGUCACUGCCCGUGGGGAGGGUGCGCGGCGGCCUGCAGCCUGAGGAACACACGUGACAUGGAACAGCAAGGAUUUUCCACCACGGGGUUGCUCCGUCUGUGCAGGGACCCAAGGGUGCCAAGAACACUGAAGACUUCAAGGGCCUGGCAUCAAACACUGCUCUGGGGGGUAAACAGACACCUGCUGAGAGCAAAGGGAGGGCCCCCUAGAGAGCAAGAAGACUCAGCCCUCCAGCGCCUGCUGGAACGUGGAGCUGCGAGGCCACUCAUCAAGAAACGGAGCAGCGUCUGGAAGUGGGAAUGGCCCUGAGACGACAGCAGCAAGAACACAGAGAAUUUUGUCCCGCAACCUCAAAGAACUCAGUCCUGGUCAUGGCACUUGUCACCAGUGAGAUCUGGUCUUAUUUUUACAGGAAAUAAACACAGUCUAUGAGAAUUUUAGCAGGUCCAUGGCCUUUCACCCAGCAUCCCUCGGCCUGCUUCUCUUGUGUGAGAACAUUCUCUUAAUCAGCACCACACCAUCAGCACGUUCAGGAGGCUUACAGGACCCUGUUCUGCCAUCUCUCACGGUGUGGUGUUGGUCAAGAAAGUGUUCCCGGAGCAAAGCGUGCUCAGCUGACACCCGGACUGGUGGCUUUCUCUGCAACAGGGACUGUCUUCAUUCUCCUGCGUCUUUUGGGCUGGAUGGUUGGUCCAGCAUCCACUCCACAUUUCCCUGGUUUCAAGUUCUUUCCUGUGUUGAGAGGGAGAAUCCAGGAAGGACCCCCAGGCCCCAUCCCCUGGAUGACUCCAGUGAGGUUGGCAACGGGAGGAGCCAGGUGAAAUUUGGAAGAUGAGGGGGACCCAGGACCUUUCCACCAGCUGGUGGCUUCUCCAGGUUUUCCCCCCAUUCCCCCUUCACCACUACAGAUGGGCUCGAGAUUUUUGGCAGUUUUCUGGGUAACCCCUGAGGAUCCCUGCCACAGUGAUUCAGGCUGGGCCCAUCCCGGCUUUCUUUCCAGCCCUUCCCACCUCACCUCCCUUCACUGGACCCUCUGCUCUACUGCUUGGAGCCCUCCAUUUCCCAGCCCCGCCCAAACCCAUCCAUGCUUGAAUUAUUUUCCUAUUUUUUUGUUGUUCUUCUUUCUUCUUUUUGUUUUCUUUGGAGGCAGAAACAGAAAGAUGCCUCUUCUCCCUAAGCGCCUUUAUCUCCAUGCUCCUCUGUUCUCCCUGUGGUUCCUAGGCCACGCCACUGCAUAAGGUUGCCACUCUGAUGUUUCCCAAAGCUUGAGGCUCCCUUUCCCUACUGGGCUUCCAGCUCCCCAGGAAGCUCACUCCCUACCCAUAGCUCCCCCGCACGUCCUGGGUGGCCCUGAUG